rnacentral:lncRNA from 1 species
GGGGAGGCAGGCAUUCUGCUUGUUCUCAUUUGUUCUCAAAUUACAUGAUAAAAUACAUGUUUUGGACCUUUUAAACCAAAGGGAGUUAUUGAGCCCGCUUACAAAAUCCAUAACAUGUUAGCAGGACUUAUCUAGCUGCCUCCACAGAAUAGCCAAGCAACUCUACACCCGCUUUAGCCCCCACAAAAACAAGCGGAUUGCACUACAAAUAAUUUGCCUAUUUGGAAAAUGAAAGCUUCUCUGUAGUUUGAGGUCCUAUUUUUUCUUUAAGUUGUUACAGUCUUUUCAUGGUCCUUGAGGUCUAGGUUAGGUUUUUGUUUGGGGUAAUUUUUGUAUCCUAUGGAUACUAUUUAAUCUUUAGUAUUGAGUCAGUAUUUCUCACUUAGGCCUUAGGGGAAUACUGCCUGAAGUAUGUAGGGGGCAUGCGGAAUUCAGACGUGGCUUGGAAACUGCACCAUGGGUUCACCCAAGAAACAGACCAGAGGCAACACAUUCUAUCACUAAAACGUGUUCUCAGUUACACUUCCCUUCCAAAGAGGAGAAAAUAUACAAAGAGAAGAUGAAGAGACAACCAAAUUUACUCGUCAAAACAAGUUUCACAGCUCCUCCUGCUCCAGAAGGUUCCGUUUGCUUUAUGAAAAUGAAGCUGUCUUGUUUUCUGGUUCAUAAAUCAUUGUCAAGCGGAGCUAGAUAACAGAAACAAGUUCAGAUUCUGGAAUGAUUAUCCUUAGAGAUGAUGUAUUAAAUAUACAGAAUACAACUUGAUUUUCAUAAGCCACGUUGACUUUGCAGAACUAAGGCUGCAGGGGAAAAUUAUUUCAUAAGAGGAGGGGUGAGAGCUCGCAAAAUCUAACCAGGUGGGAACGAUGGGAGAGGGAAGGAAGUAGAGCAUUUUCACAUGUAAAGAUGUGUCUGCUUUCUCCAGUUUUCUCUCUAUUAUUUACCUAAUGUCAUUUAAGCAUUUGGUGCCUCUGUCUUCUAUUAACAAUAUGGGAAGCAUCUUUAGAAAAGAAGAGCUUCUCCUUCUUCCUAGAUUAACUACCGCUUUUCUUUCAUCCUCUUCUCUGAAUAUUGUGGUAUCAUGUAAAAUAUUUCUUCUACCUCUUCGUAACUUAACCUCUCCCCCUGCAAUGAGCUUGGUUUGAGUUGUACUUUUGGAGUUCCAUAUCUCAUACCCAGUAGGCUUUCUAAUGCCUCACCAGAGCCGCACAAUCCACGGGAGUGAAAUCUGGAGAAAAAUCACAGUGGAGUGAGAAAGAGUCACAGAAAUACCCUGAGAUCAGAAGUGUCUUUGUGGUAACUCAGGGAACAGGUUUCUUGCCACUGAAUGGUGCUGAAGCUGAUUUCCUUCUGAAUGAAGACUUCAGACCACCAAGCCAACUUAAAAAUGUAUUUUGCUGAAAAAGAGAGGUUUCUUCUGUGUAAAAUGUAUUUUACUUCCUAUUCAACUGCUUAGUUCCUAUUGGAGCUCUGUAUUAGUCUGUUCUCACGCUGCUAAUAAAGACAUACCCGAGACUGGGUAAGUAAUAAAGAAAAAGAGGUUUAAUGAUCUCACAGUUCCACGUGGCUGGAGAGGCCUCCCAAUCAUGGCAGAUGGAAAAAGCAUGUCUUACAGGGUGGCAGACAAGAGAAAAUGAGAAACAAGUGAAAAAGGUUUCCCCUUAUAAAACCAUCAGUUCUUGUGAAACUUAUUCACUACCACGAGAACAGUAUGGGAGAAACCACCCUUGUGAUUCAAUUAUGUCCCAACGGGUCCCUCCCACAACGUGUGGGAUUAUGGGAGCUACAAUUCAAGAUGAGAUUUGGGUGAGGACAAAGCUAAACCACAUCAAGCUCCAAAUCUCAUUUCAGACAUGAAGCCUCCUCUCC